rnacentral:rRNA from 1 species
UACGUAGGGGGCAAGCGUUAUCCGGAUUUACUGGGCGUAAAGGGAGCGCAGGCGGCGCGCCAAGUCUGAUGUGAAACCCCGGGGCUCAACCCCGGGCAUGCAUUGGAAACUGGUGGGCUGGAGUGCCGGAGAGGUAAGCGGAAUUCCUAGUGUAGCGGUGAAAUGCGUAGAUAUUAGGAGGAACACCAGUGGCGAAGGCGGCUUACUGGACGGCAACUGACGCUGAGGCUCGAAAGCGUGGGGAGCAAACAGG